rnacentral:rRNA from 1 species
GAUGAACGCUGGCGGCGUGCUUAACACAUGCAAGUCGAGCGAUGAAGUUUCCUUCGGGAAACGGAUUAGCGGCGGACGGGUGAGUAACACGUGGGUAACCUGCCUCAUAGAGUGGAAUAGCCUUCCGAAAGGAAGAUUAAUACCGCAUAACGUUGAAAGAUGGCAUCAUCAUUCAACCAAAGGAGUAAUCCGCUAUGAGAUGGACCCGCGGCGCAUUAGCUAGUUGGUGGGGUAACGGCCUACCAAGGCGACGAUGCGUAGCCGACCUGAGAGGGUGAUCGGCCACAUUGGGACUGAGACACGGCCCAGACUCCUACGGGAGGCAGCAGUGGGGAAUAUUGCACAAUGGGGGGAACCUUGAUGCAGCAACGCCGCGUGAGUGAUGAAGGUUUUCGGAUCGUAAAGCUCUGUCUUUGGGGAAGAUAAUGACGGUACCCAAGGAGGAAGCCACGGCUAACUACGUGCCAGCCGCCGCGGUAAAAC